ACUGCACAUUGUUAGAGCUUGGAGUUGAGGCCGCUGGUGGCCGGUGGACUCACAAGUGUAGGUAGUGUGCUACAUGAGGGGCAAGAGUUUUCGCUAACACCACAAGGGUCUCUGGCCCAAUGAGUGGAGUUUGAUAGUAAUUCUUGCUACAAGU